ensembl:lncRNA LINC01198 long intergenic non-protein coding RNA 1198
GUGACCUCAUACAAAGGCUUGGCUAAUACUGCAAAGUUUGGGAUCCACAGUCUACAAAACCCCACAUCCCCUGAGAAUUCUCUCGCCUGCCUUAGGCACUUAGGCUCCGGGAGAUUGCAAAUAACCUGCUUUCUUUCUGUUCCCGGGCUGCGUUCGGACUCCUGUCAGAUAGUAAAUCCUAAGUGGCGUCGGACCCCUGUCAGAGAGUAAAUCUCAAGUAAGGUACCUGCCAUCGGCAGAUUUGAGCUUUCUUCUUGGACACCUAAUACCCACAGUCCUCCAGGCUCCGGUAGACUGCAAAUGACCUGCUUUCUUUCUGUUCCCGGGCUGCGUUUGGACCCCUGUCGGAUAGUAAAUCCCAAGUAAGGUACCUGCCCUCGGCAGAUUUGAGCUUUCUUCUUGGACACCUAAUACCCACAGUCCCCCAGGCUCCGGUAGACUGCAAAUGACCUGCUUUCUUUCUGUUCCCGGGCUGCGUUUGGACCCCUGUCGGACAGUAAAUCCCAAGUAAGGUACCUGCCCUCGGCAGAUUUGAGCUUUCUUCUUGGACACCUAAUACCCACAGUCCUCCAGGCUGUAGAUGAAGGGGUUCAGCAUGGAGGUGAUCACCGUGUACAUCACUGAGGCCACUGCAGCCUUUCUCGGGGAAGAUGACACAUCUGAACUGAGGUACCCUCCAAAGCCUGUUCCGUAAAAUCAGCAAACAACUGACAGGAUAACUUCAGGAAGUGGGUAUUAAUUCUCACGGUAUAAGUGAAGACAUUAAGCACCAGAGUUUAAGUAGCUUGAUCCACUGAAAGAGAUUCAACUGUGUGGAACCUAUGCCGUGGAGAAUUGCUUUCUGCCAUUGUUAUCGUCCAGCAGUUGCCGAAUAGCUCUGACCUGAGCAAAGCAGUGAAACGCGGUGCUGUUGAGUGGGUUGCCACUGCACCUUUUUCAACUACUCUAGUCUUGUGGAGAAAAUACCCCUUCUAAAUUUUUUCUUCAUUGAAUACUCUCCCUCAGCUCCAGAGUACCAUAUAGAGUUUUCUUGUAUUUUAGAGUUACUGUUUUAUCAAAGUUUACCAGUCUUUUGUAUUACAUUUCUCCUGUCUAAAUCGACUGUGUGGUUUCUACUCAUUAUGGAUAUAGAUUGAUACAAACUCAAUAAAUAUUUUUGAAUGAAUAA